AGAGUUUGAUCCUGGCUCAGGAUAAACGCUGGCGGCGUGCCUAACACAUGCAAGUCGAACGCGCUCUACCCGUAAGGGCAGAGGGAGUGGCGGACGGGUGAGUAAGACAUGGGUGACCUAUCCCCCAGUGAGGAAUACCACCGGGAAACCGGUGACAAUACCGCAUAGGCUCGCGCUUUCAUCGGUGCGAGCAAAGCUCCGCCAGGAGCGCUGGAGGAGGGGCUCAUGGCCGAUUAGCUAGCUGGUGGGGUAAGGGCCUACCAGGGCGACGAUCGGUAGCUGGUCUGAGAGGACGAGCAGCCACACUGGGAUUGAGAACGGCCCAGACUCCUACGGGGGGCAGCAGUGAGGAAUUUUCCGCAAUGGGCGCAAGCCUGACGGAGCAACGCCGCGUGCAGGACGACGGCCUUCGGGUUGUAAACUGCUUUUCUCGGGGACGAAAGCCGACGGUACCCGAGGAAUCAGCCCCGGCUAACUACGUGCCAGCAGCCGCGGUAAUACGUAGGGGGCGAGCGUUGUCCGGAGUUACUGGGCGUAAAGGGCACGCAGGCGGUUCAUCGCGUUGAGGGUGACAGCUCUCGGCUUCACUGAGAGAGCGCUUUCAAAACGGAUGGACUAGAGGCAUCGAGAGGGACACGGAAUUCCGGGUGGAGUGGUGAAAUGCGUAGAGAUCCGGAAGAACACCAAAGGCGAAGGCAGUGUUCUGGCGAUGACCUGACGCUCAGGUGCGAAAGCUAGGGGAGCGAACAGGAUUAGAUACCCUGGUAGUCC
rnacentral:rRNA from 1 species